GAUGAACGCUAGCUACAGGCUUAACACAUGCAAGUCGAGGGGAAACGACAUCGAAAGCUUGCUUUUGGUGGGCGUCGACCGGCGCACGGGUGAGUAACGCGUAUCCAACCUGCCCACCACUUGGGGAUAACCUUGCGAAAGUAAGACUAAUACCCAAUGAUAUCCCACGAAGGCAUCCGAAUGGGAUUAAAGAUUUAUCGGUGAUGGAUGGGGAUGCGUCUGAUUAGCUUGUUGGCGGGGUAACGGCCCACCAAGGCAACGAUCAGUAGGGGUUCUGAGAGGAAGGUCCCCCACAUUGGAACUGAGACACGGUCCAAACUCCUACGGGAGGCAGCAGUGAGGAAUAUUGGUCAAUGGACGGGAGUCUGAACCAGCCAAGUAGCGUGCAGGACGACGGCCCUAUGGGUUGUAAACUGCUUUUAUAGGGGGAUAAAGUGUGCCACGUGUGGCAUAUUGCAGGUACCCUAUGAAUAAGGACCGGCUAAUUCCGUG
rnacentral:rRNA from 1 species